GACGAACGCUGGCGGCGUGCCUAAUACAUGCAAGUCGAACGAAGUGGCGAACGGGUGAGUAACGCGUAAUCAACCUGCCCUUCAGAGGGGGACAACAGUUGGAAACGACUGCUAAUACCGCAUACUGAAGGAGGGGAUUGCGUCUGAUUGGCUCGUUGGGGGGGUAACGGCCCACCCAGGCGAUGUUCAGUAGCCGGUCUGAGGGGAUGAACGGCCAAAUUGGGACUGAGACACGGCCCAGACUCCUACGGGAGGCAGCAGUGGGGAAUCUUCCGCAAUGGAGGAAAGUCUGACGGAGCAACGCCGCGUGAGUGAUGACGGCCUUCGGGUUGUAAAGCUCUGUUAAUCGGGACGCGGUACCGGAAGAGAAAGCCACGGCUAACUACGUGCCAGCAGCCGCGGUAAUAC
rnacentral:rRNA from 1 species